GCUGGUGUGGCGAAACUGGCAAACGCAGAGACUUCGCACGUCUCCGGGCGAAAGCCCUUACGGGUUCGAUUCCCGUCACCAGCA
rnacentral:tRNA from 1 species